UGCAAGUCGAACGCGCGGAUCAGGAGCUUGCUCCUGUGACGCGAGUGGCGGACGGGUGAGUAACACGUAGGCAACCUGCCCAUCAGACUGGGAUAACCACGGGAAACCGUGGCUAAUACCGGAUAAUCCUUUCCCACACAAGUGGGAAAGUUGAAAGGCGGCUUCGGCUGUCACUGAUGGAUGGGCCUGCGGCGCAUUAGCUGGUUGGUGGGGUAACGGCCCACCAAGGCGACGAUGCGUAGCCGACCUGAGAGGGUGAUCGGCCACACUGGGACUGAGACACGGCCUAGACUCCUACGGGAGGCAGCAGUAGGGAAUCUUCCGCAAUGGACGAAAGUCUGACGGA
rnacentral:rRNA from 1 species